rnacentral:rRNA from 1 species
AUUGAACGCUGGCGGCAGGCCUAACACAUGCAAGUCGAACGAGUGGCGGACGGGUGAGUAAUGUCUGGGAAACUGCCUGAUGGCGGGGGAUAACUACUGGAAACGGUAGCUAAUACCGCAUACCAUCAGAUGUGCCCAGAUGGGGUUAGCUAGUUGGUGGGGUAACGGCUCACCAAGGCGACGAUCCCUAGCUGGUCUGAGAGGAUGACCAGCCACUGGAGAACUGAGACACGGUCCAGACUCCGACGGGAGGCAGAAGUGGGGAAUAGUGCACAAUGGGCGCAAGCCUGAUGCAGCCAUGCCGCGGGUAUGAAGAAGGCCUGCGGGUUGUAAAGUACUUUCAGCGGGGAGGCGUUACCCGCAGAAGAAGCACCGGCUAACGCCGUGCCAGCAGCCGCGGUAAUAC